AGUGAACGCUGGCGGUAGGCCUAACACAUGCAAGUCGAACGGCAGCACAGUAAGAGCUUGCUCUUACGGGUGGCGAGUGGCGGACGGGUGAGGAAUACAUCGGAAUCUACUUUUUCGUGGGGGAUAACGUAGGGAAACUUACGCUAAUACCGCAUACGACCUACGGGUGAAAGCAGGGGAUCUUCGGACCUUGCGCGAUUGAAUGAGCCGAUGUCGGAUUAGCUAGUUGGCGGGGUAAAGGCCCACCAAGGCGACGAUCCGUAGCUGGUCUGAGAGGAUGAUCAGCCACACUGGAACUGAGACACGGUCCAGACUCCUACGGGAGGCAGCAGUGGGGAAUAUUGGACAAUGGGCGCAAGCCUGAUCCAGCCAUACCGCGUGGGUGAAGAAGGACUUCGGGUUGUAAAGCCAUUUUGUUGGGAAAGAAAAGCAGCAGGUUAAUACCCCGCUGUUCUGACGGUACCCAAAGAAUAAGCACCGGCUAACUUCGUG
rnacentral:rRNA from 1 species